rnacentral:rRNA from 1 species
CUCUGUGACUCCUACGGGAGGCAGCAGUGGGGAAUAUUGCACAAUGGGCGCAAGCCUGAUGCAGCCAUGCCGCGUGUGUGAAGAAGGCCUUCGGGUUGUAAAGCACUUUCAGUUGUGAGGAAGGUGGUGUCGUUAAUAGCGGCAUCAUUUGACGUUAGCAACAGAAGAAGCACCGGCUAACUCCGUGCCAGCAGCCGCGGUAAUACGGAGGGUGCGAGCGUUAAUCGGAAUUACUGGGCGUAAAGCGCAUGCAGGUGGUUUGUUAAGUCAGAUGUGAAAGCCCCGGGGCUCAACCUCGGAACUGCAUUUGAAACUGGCAGACUAGAGUACUGUAGAGGGGGUAGAAUUUCAGGUGUAGCGGUGAAAUGCGUAGAGAUCUGAAGGAAUACCGGUGGCGAAGGCGGCCCCCCUGGACAGAUACUGACACUCAGAUGCGAAAGCGUGGGGAGCAAACAGGAUUAGAUACCCUGUAA